AAAUCCCAUCAAUUUUUCGUUGAAGCCUCCUGUGUCAACAAGCGAAUAGCGAUGAAAAUUAAACUGGGUCGCAAAUGUCAACUAAUGGUCAAUUAUCAGUGAAAGCUGGAUGAUGCUCAAAUGGGUGUUGGUCAUUCUCCUGGCUAGAGUGACCUUUCGUGAAGCCCUAGCUUCCUUGUGUUAUUCUAGGAACUGUUCACAUGGGAUUUUGGAUGAAGUUAAACCCGAAACUUUCUCUUGUAAAGUUGGAUUUGAAAAAGAAUUUGAAGCCUUUAAAAGACAAUUUGGUGUUCAUGAGAAAUACGAUUUUUCGUCGGCUGAUGUAUUUCAUGAAAGACCUGUCAUACAAUCCAUUCAAUUGCAUGACUACUUAAAGACCAGUCAUCCGGAAAUCAGCAGAUACAACAACAAAGAUUUAGAAAACAUCACGCACGGUUUAACCCUCGGGAUUAUCAUACCGGUGGACAGAAGUAUCGUCAUUUAUGUCAACUGAUUAAGUAUACAUAAGGAGGCUAUGUAGUAAACAAGUGACCCAUAAGAUCCAACAUACAUUUUUGAUAGGAUAUAUUUGACCGGUUCCAUUUACAAUAAAUAUUUACAUUUU
rnacentral:misc_RNA from 1 species